rnacentral:tRNA from 1 species
GGGUCGGUACCAAAGCGGUCAACUGGAGCAGACUGUAAAUCUGUUGGCUCACGCCUUCGUAGGUUCGAAUCCUACCCGGCCCA